GUGCGUGUGUGCAAGGUGUGGUUGCACGGAUGCUCGUUGCUUCUGCGUAUCUGCGGCAGCCUAGGGCCCAGGCCCGGGCCACCAUGGCGCUGCCUCCGGGCCCAGCCGCCCUCCGGCACACACUGCUGCUCCUGCCAGCCCUUCUGAGCUCAGGUUGGGGGGAGUUGGAGCCACAAAUAGAUGGUCAGACCUGGGCUGAGCGGGCACUUCGGGAGAAUGAACGCCACGCCUUCACCUGCCGGGUGGCAGGGGGGCCUGGCACCCCCAGAUUGGCCUGGUAUCUGGAUGGACAGCUGCAGGAGGCCAGCACCUCAAGACUGCUGAGCGUGGGAGGGGAGGCCUUCUCUGGAGGCACCAGCACCUUCACUGUCACUGCCCAUCGGGCCCAGCAUGAGCUCAACUGCUCCCUGCAGGACCCCAGCAGUGGCCGAUCAGCCAACGCCUCUGUCAUCCUUAAUGUGCAAUUCAAGCCAGAGAUUGCCCAAGUCGGCGCCAAGUACCAGGAAGCUCAGGGCCCAGGCCUCCUGGUUGUCCUGUUUGCCCUGGUGCGUGCCAACCCGCCUGCCAAUGUCACCUGGAUCG
rnacentral:sRNA from 1 species